rnacentral:lncRNA from 1 species
GCCUCUUCCAUGACAGACACAGACUUGCGCUCCCAAGAAUAAGGACUGCUUUCUCAGCAACCUUUGCUUUUUGACAGCAUGACAGUUAAAGGCGCAGACUCUGGGGUCAGGCCUGGAUGAGAACCCAGGCCUUACCACUCCAACCUACGUCCGUCCACCUUAUAAGGUAUCAGCCUCAGGCUGACUGGUCAACUCAGGAGGGAAUCCAGAAUGACAGUUCCAGCCUUGUGGUGGCGUCGUCUGAGAGUUAAACGACAUUCUAUCUUAGAUACUUAGGAGAAUGCCUGGUAUACAGUAAGGACUCAAUAAAUCUGGUUGCUGCCGUUGUUGCUGUGGCUGUCAAGAGUAGCCUCUGACUUCCAUGAAGCUGUGAACCCAGAGCGGGGCAAGCAAGCUGCCCAGGUGAGAUGGGAAGUGUGAACGGGGCGGGACGGGCAGGAACGGCCCCGCAACGCUGGACCUCGUCAUUAGGAGUGGACGGGGACAGUGUCCCGCUGUGCUUCUCACCGCACAUUGCUCAGGCACCCCGGAAACCAGGGAGAAUGCCCUGUGUGUGUACGUGUGCGUACGGGCACACACACGUCUGUGAACACGCGUGCGCACCUGUACAAAUGGACUACACCAAGGAGCGAUCUGAAAAGCUGGAGAAGAGGGUUAGGGACUCUGUAAAUGGCAGUUUAUUGGAUCUGUGAGGACCACAGAGUGAAGACCAAGCUAAAACUGCCAAUCCCCGCCGCCUGGUGCUUCAGGUCUCAAGCUGUAAGACCCACCAAUCCCAAGCCUGCCCGACCAAGCUUACCACGAACCCCAUCCCCACGAGACUCGCGUUCCUCCUAGUACCGUGACUGACAUAAUGCCCACUCCCCACAGGGGCACUGUGACAGGACAGUGGAUGAGGGUGCUAGCCUGCCUGGCCUCCGCCUCCCCACCUCCCACUCUAGCAUGGGGCUGGAAUGGCUCUGGCCCUGCCCUGACUCCUGGUGAGAGACUGGGUCUCGCGUACCCCAAGCAGCACCUCUUUCCUGCAACCUAUGUCCACCUUACAUGGAGCUGCUUCCCCUUGGUGUCCUGAUGUGCAACCCCAUCCCCCCAUGGGACAGAGCCUUGCCCUGAACGCCUGUCUGCUUUCCUGGGGCCCUGGACCAGCCCCUCUCCUGAAGGUUGGAUAUCGCUUCCUGUAGGCCUCAUGCAGGACUGACCCAACUUCAAUGCUGUUAUCCACCCGACUCGGGGGACUUCUGCCCCAUUCACAGACCUGGCUCUCCAGGGGUGAGGGCUGACCGGAAUGAGGAUUUCCAGUCUCCCAGGGACACUCAGGGUUGACUUGGAGACACCCUCUCUCUGGCUCCCAUUCCCAAGAGAUCUGCUGGGACUGUGUCAGUGUGCUGAGCUGGGUCCUAACUCUUUAGAGCUUUUAAAAUAUAUUUUUUUCCCUAUUCC